rnacentral:rRNA from 1 species
GAUGAACGCUAGCUACAGGCUUAACACAUGCAAGUCGAGGGGGCAGCAUGGUCUUAGCUUGCUAAGGCCGAUGGCGACCGGCGCACGGGUGAGUAACACGUAUCCAACCUGCCGUCUACUCUUGGACAGCCUUCUGAAAGGAAGAUUAAUACAAGAUGGCAUCAUGAGUCCGCAUGUUCACAUGAUUAAAGGUAUUCCGGUAGACGAUGGGGAUGCGUUCCAUUAGAUAGUAGGCGGGGUAACGGCCCACCUAGUCUUCGAUGGAUAGGGGUUCUGAGAGGAACGGUCCCCCACAUUGGAACUGAGACACGGUACCAAACUCCGUACGGGAGCAGCAGUGAGG